rnacentral:rRNA from 1 species
UACGUAGGGUGCAAGCGUUGUCCGGAAUUAUUGGGCGUAAAGAGCUCGUAGGCGGUCUGUCGCGUCUGCUGUGAAAACUCGGGGCUUAACCCCGGGCCUGCAGUGGGUACGGGCAGACUAGAGUGCGGUAGGGGAGACUGGAAUUCCUGGUGUAGCGGUGAAAUGCGCAGAUAUCUGGAGGAACACCGGUGGCGAAGGCGGCAUCCUGGACCGAGAUUGACGCUGAGGCGCGAAAGCCAGGGGAGCAAACGGG